ensembl:misc_RNA Y_RNA Y RNA
GGCUGGUCUGAAAGGAGUGAGUUAUCUCAGUUGACUGUUCAAUCCGUUACCCUUCUCUCUACUACUUGACUAGUCUUAA